GACGAACGCUGGCGGCGUGCUUAACACAUGCAAGUCGAACGAGUGGCGAACGGGUGAGUAAUACGUGAGUAAACUGCCCUCUGUUUGGGAUAAGCCUUGGCAACGGGGACUAAUACCGAAUACAGGGGGAUGGGCUCGCGGCCUAUCAGCUUGUUGGUGGGGUGAUGGCCUACCAGGGCGGUGACGGGUAGCCGGCCUGAGAGGGUGGCCGGUCACAUUGGGACGGGGCUACGGCCCCGACUCCUACGAGAGGCAGCAGUGAGGGAUAUUGCACAGGGGGCGAAAUCCUGAUGCAGCGACGCCGCGUAGGAGAUGAAGGCGUUCGGGUUGUAAACCUCUUUCGCGAUAGAACGGGUAGGUGGAGAAGGAGCGCCGGCUAACUACGGGCCAGGCGCCGCGGUAAUUC
rnacentral:rRNA from 1 species